UACGGGGGGGGCAAGCGUUGUUCGGAAUUACUGGGCGUAAAGGGCGCGUAGGCGGCCUACUAAGUCGGACGUGAAAUCCCUCGGCUCAACCGGGGAACUGCGUCCGAUACUGGUGGGCUCGAAUCCGGGAGAGGGAUGUGGAAUUCCAGGUGUAGCGGUGAAAUGCGUAGAUAUCUGGAGGAACACCGGUGGCGAAGGCGGCAUCCUGGACCGGUAUUGACGCUGAUGCGCGAAAGCUAGGGGAGCAAACGGG
rnacentral:rRNA from 1 species